GGAAUUGACGGGGGCCCGCACAAGCGGUGGAGCAUGUGGUUUAAUUCGAUGAUACGCGAGGAACCUUACCUGGGCUCAAAUGUAUGUUGACGUAUUCUGAAAGGGAUACUUCUUCGGACAAUAUACAAGGUGCUGCAUGGUUGUCGUCAGCUCGUGCCGUGAGGUGUCGGGUUAAGUCCCAUAACGAGCGCAACCCCUAUCAUUAGUUGCCAUCAGGUCAAGCUGGGGACUCUAAUGAAACUGCCUACGCAAGUAGUGAGGAAGGUGGGGAUGACGUCAAAUCAGCACGGCCCUUACGUCCAGGGCUACACACGUGCUACAAUGGCCGGCACAGCGGGAAGCGAGGCAGUGAUGCCAAGCGGAUCCCUUAAAGCCGGUCUCAGUUCGGAUUGAAGUCUGCAACUCGACUUCAUGAAGCUGGAAUCGCUAGUAAUCGUGAAUCAGAAUGUCACGGUGAAUACGUUCCCGGGCCUU
rnacentral:rRNA from 1 species